rnacentral:tRNA from 1 species
GCGGGCGUAGUUUAGUGGUAGAACUGUGGUCUCCAAAACCACUGGUGGGGGUUCGAUUCCCUCCGCCCGUG